CCCUUAGAUGUCCUGGGCCGCACGCGCGUUACACUGAUGUAUUCAACGAGCUUAUAACCUUGGCCGAGAGGCCUGGGCAAUCUUGUUAACGUGCAUCGUGAUAGGGAUAGAUUAUUGAAAUUAUUAAUCUUGAACGAGGAAUUCCUAGUAAACGCAGAUCAUCAAUCUGCAUUGAUUACGUCCCUGCCCUUUGUACACACCGCCCGUCGCACCUACCGAUUGGAUGGUCCGGUGAAGCCUCGGGAUUGUGGUUCUUGCCGCUUUAUUGUGGCGUGACCGCGAGAACUUGUCUAAACCUUAUCAUCUAGAGGAAGGUGAAGUCGUAACA
rnacentral:rRNA from 1 species